rnacentral:lncRNA from 1 species
AGGCGUGGGGCCGGGCUCGCGAACCCCAGCCGCACGCCACGGUUGUCGUGCAACGCUGCGGACGCUCCCGCUAACUGCGGUCCGGUCUGCGUAUCCGCGCGCACUCGCGUGUCCCCGGCGUGAACCGGAACCGCUUGCGGAAGUCGCCGCUGGGAGCGGAGAACAAGAACACGGUGGGAGGCGGCCUGCGCGGCGCCACCCGCCAUGGCCGCGGCGGGGUGAGCACUGCGUGGGGCCGCAGUCGCGGACUCGGGCUCCUCCGCCGCAAACCAGGGGCUGAGGCCGUAGCAGCUGGGGUCGCUGUCUGUCGGUAGCUGUAGCCGCCUGCACGUCGUCGCCGUCCAUGGCGCGGCCCCGCCGCCGCCGUCGCUGCUGACCCGGGCCCGGAGCGGUUUCCGCCCUCCACGGGGCGCGGGCGGCCUGCCUUUGCGCCCGAGCCUGCGCCCGCGCCCCGGGGCUACCGGUCGGGUAGUCAGCGAUGGGGAACACAACUUCGUGCUGCGUGUCGUCCAGCCCCAAGCUCCGGAGGAAUGCGCACUCGCGGCUGGAGUCCUACCGCCCGGACACGGACCUCAGCCGUGAGGACACUGGCUGCAAUCUGCAGCACAUCAGCGACCGGGAAAACAUCGACGAUUUAAACAUGGAAUUCAAUCCUUCAGACCAUCCUCGGGCCAGCACAAUAUUCCUCAGCAAAUCUCAGACAGACGGUAGGUUACUAAUUCAUUUGCUUUUAAAAAUAUAGCUAACCUAAAUGUGGACACUGCUAGGACUUGAUUUUUCAUUUAUGAUAGAGUUCCCUUUAGUGACCAUGAAGUACUGUGUGUAAUGGUGCUCUUUGUUUAUUCUGUGGUAAUGAAUUACAUUUUUACAAUUUCACAUUUGAAGCAACUGUCUUCAUUUUGCCAUUAGCUAGGUUACCUCUGAUAGUAUUCUAUGGUGAAAGUUAAUUGAGUCAGAAAUUUCCCUUUAGGCACUAAAGUUUAGGAUGUGACACUUAUGAAGUUCUGAAAGAUCAGAUGUGUUCACUUGUGUGAUAGUAAG